UAGAGUUUGAUCCUGGCUCAGGAUAAACGCUGGCGGCGUGCCUAACACAUGCAAGUCGAACGCCCUGCUUACGGGCAGGGAGUGGCGGACGGGUGAGUAACACAUGGGAACCUACCCACCAGUGAGGGAUACCGGCGCGAAAGCGCCGACAAGCCCGCAUACGCUUCCCCUCUCGUGAGGGGAAGGAAAGCUUCUUCGGAGGCGCUGGUGGCUGGGCCUGUGGCCGAUUAGCUAGUUGGUGUGGUAAGAGCGCACCAAGGCGACGAUCGGUAGCUGGUCUGAGAGGACGAGCAGCCACACUGGGAUUGAGAACGGCCCAGACUCCUACGGGGGGCAGCAGUGAGGAAUUUUCGGCAAUGGGCGCAAGCCUGACCGAGCAACGCCGCGUGCAGGACGACGCGUUUCGGCGUGUAAACUGCUUUUCUGUGGGACGAGCAAGGACGGUACCACAGGAAGAAGCCCCGGCUAACUACGUGCCAGCAGCCGCGGUAAGACGUAGGGGGCGAGCGUUGUCCGGAGUUACUGGGCGUAAAGGGCCCGCAGGCGGGAGGGUGCGUUUGGUGUGACAGCUCGUGGCUUCACUACGAGAGGAUACCAAAGACGGCCGUUCUUGAGGGCCAGAGAGGGACCUGGAAGUCCGGGUGGAGCGGUGAAAUGCGUAGAGAUCCGGAGGAACACCGAAAGCGAAGGCAGGGUCCUGGCUGGCACCUGACGCUCGUGGGCGAAAGCUAGGGGAGCGAACGGGAUUAGAUACCCCGGUAGUCCUAGCCGUAAACGAUGACCACUAGGUGUGCGACGUAUCGACCCGUUGCGUGCCGGAGGUAACCCAUUAAGUGGUCCGCCUGGGGAGUACGGUCGCAAGAUUAAAACUCAAAGGAAUUGACGGGGACCCGCACAAGCAGCGGAGCGUGUGGUUUAAUUCGAUGCGACGCGAAGCACCUUACCAGGGUUUGACAUGCGCGCUGAGCGUCCAGAGGUGGGCGGGCCCGCAAGGGAGGCGCGCACAGGUGCUGCAUGGCUGUCGUCAGCUCGUGCCGUGAGGUGUUGGGUUAAGUCCCGCAACGAGCGCAACCCCUGUCGCCGGUUGAAUGGUCCGGCGAGACUGCCACGUUGAACGUGGAGGAAGGUGGGGAUGACGUCAAGUCAGCACGGCCCUGAUGUCCUGGGCGACACACACGCUACAAUGGCCGAGACAACGGGUAGCCAACCCGCGAGGGGGAGCCAAUCCCAGCAAAGUCGGCCUCAGUUCAGAUUGCAGGCUGCAACCCGCCUGCAUGAAGGAGGAGUUGCUAGUAACCGUGGGUCAGCAUACCACGGUGAAUACGUUCCCGGGUCUUGUACACACCGCCCGUCACACCACGAAAGUCGGCAACACCUGAAGCCGCUGGGCUAACGCGCACGCGAGGCAGGCGUCGAGGGUGGGGUCGGUGAUUGGGGUGAAGUCGUAACAAGGUAACCGUA
rnacentral:rRNA from 1 species